rnacentral:rRNA from 2 species
GAGGAAAAGAAACUAACAAGGAUUCCCCUAGUAACUGCGAGUGAAGCGGGAAAAGCUCAAAUUUAAAAUCUGGUAGUCUUUGGCUGCCCGAGUUGUAAUCUAGAGAAGCAUUAUCCGCGCUGGACCGUGUACAAGUGUCCUGGAAUGGACUAUCAUAGAGGGUGAGAAUCCCGUCUUUGACACGGACUCCCAGGGCUUUGUGAUGUGCUCUCAAAGAGUCGAGUUGUUUGGGAAUGCAGCUCUAAAUGGGUGGUAAAUUCCAUCUAAAGCUAAAUAUUGGCGAGAGACCGAUAGCGAACAAGUACCGUGAGGGAAAGAUGAAAAGAACUUUGGAAAGAGAGUUAAACAGUACGUGAAAUUGCUGAAAGGGAAACGCUUGAAGUCAGUCGCGUUGGCUGGGAAUCAACCUUGCUUCUUGCUUGGCUUACUUCCCAGUUGACGGGUCAGCAUCAGUUUUGACCAGUGGAUAAAGGUUAGGGGAAUGUGGCACCUCCGGGUGUGUUAUAGCCCUUGAUCAUAUACAUUGGUUGGGACUGA